UACGUAGGGUGCGAGCGUUGUCCGGAAUCAUUGGGCGUAAAGCGCGUGUAGGCGGUCCGGUAAGUCCGCUGUGAAAGUCGGGGGCUCAACCCUCGGAUGCCGGUGGAUACUGUCGGGCUUGAGUACGGAAGAGGCGAGUGGAAUUCCUGGUGUAGCGGUGAAAUGCGCAGAUAUCAGGAGGAACACCGAUGGCGAAGGCAGGUCUCUGGGCAUUAACUGACGCUGAGGAGCGAAAGCAUGGGGAGCGAACAGG
rnacentral:rRNA from 1 species